rnacentral:rRNA from 1 species
CCUACGGGUGGCAGCAGUGGGGAAUAUUGGGCAAUGGGCGCAACCCUGACCCAGCAACGCCGCGUGAAUGAAGAAGGCUUUCGGGUUAUAAACUUCUUUUCUCAGGGACGAAGAAAGUGACGGUACCUUAAGAAUAAGCCACUGCUAACUACGUGCCAGCAGCCGCGGUAAUACGUAGGUGGCAAGCGUUAUCCGGAUUUAUUGGGUGUAAAGGGAGUGUAGGCGGGGGCGGAAGUCAGAUGUGAAAACUCAGGGCUCAACCCUGGGGCUGCAUUUGAAACUGUGUUUCUUGAGUGCUGGAGAGGCAAGCGGAAUUCCGAGUGUAGCGGUGAAAUGCGUAGAUAUAAGGAGGAACACCAGUGGCGAAGGCGGAUUGCUGGACAGUAACUGACGCUGAGGCGCGAAAGCGUGGGGAGCAAACAGGAUUAGAUACCCGUGUAGUC